rnacentral:misc_RNA from 1 species
GGAUAAAAACAAAUUGUUCAAAAGUUGACAGUAACGACCAAGCAUUUGAUCUGUACAUAAUUGGGUAAAUAAUGACUUAAAGUUAACAGAAAUGGCUGCAAUAGAUUUAUCCAAAACGUUUGAUGAGAUGGAGUCGGAUGAACUCAGUUUGGAAACGUCUGUUCCAACUGAUUUGACUCUAUCGCCAGACCGAGAAAAUGGACACGCAGACGAUCGCAGGGAUAGGAAAUCUAAAGUAACAAGACAGUUGAUAGAAAGAAAACAAUUAAUGCACGACAUGCAACUUCUAAGAAUUGAGUUAUCUCAAAAGAAUUUAACUCUCGAAAACAUGAAAGCCGAAUCUCUUAAUAGGGUUGAAGAGUUGGAAGAAAAACUUAAUGAUGCUUUACAUCAAAAGCAAAUUCUUGCAGCUCGUCUUGAAUCACAGUUAUCUAUUCAAGAACAAGAAUCAAAACGGCGACAAGAAUUGAUAAAAUCGGAAUUGGAAGAAGUCCGUCAACGACAGAAACAAUUAGAAUCAACAAAUGAACGUUUAGAAGAAAAGGCGGGGAAUGUCAGGAGAACUUUGAGAGAUUUAGAUAUUACAGAGGAUAAAUAUUAUGAACUACGGGGUCAGAGUGAGGAAGACAUUUCACUGCGAGAGUAUGUGGCGAUGAAAAUGUUUGAAGCAGUCCGUCCACUUCAGACUGAAAUAGAUCAGAUGCGGCUAAGAAAUAAAACAUUAGAAGAUCAAACUAAAUCAUUUUCCAAAGAAGUUUUAGAGUUACAGGAGAAAUUAGAUGCUGAGCGACAGGAGCACGGCGAAUUACGCAUAAAACACCAGAGAAUGAUCAUUGAUUUCUCCGACACAAAGUCACAAGUCAAACACGAUAACUUCAAAGUUGAAAACUAUGACAGGGUGAAAAUUGAAAGGGAUGGAUUAGAACAUGAUCGUUUGGACAUUCAGAGGCAGCUAUCAGUACUAGAGGGAGCUCAUCAAACCCUGACCAAAGAAAGGGAUGACCUACACAGUGAGCUGUCUGCAGCCAAGCAAUCUCUGUCCUUGCUAAAACAAGACAAGGAGUACCUGACUAAACAGGUGUCAGACCUGACCAACAGGUGUACAUACGCUGAGGAAAAGGUACAGCAGUCUGGUCAUGAACUGGAGGACGCAAAGCGAGCCCGAGAGGAGAUGUAUGAAAAAUAUGUUUCCUCCAGGGACCAGUAUAAGACAGAGUAUGAGAAUAAACUACGAGAAGAACUGGAACAGAUCAGACUAAAAACAAAUGGAGAGAUUGACAGACUGCGAACCAGUACAAAGGAGAUGUAUGAAAGGGAAAACAGGAAUUUACGAGAGGCAAGAGAUAUGGCAAUAUCUGAGAAAGACAGAGCCGUAGCCACAGAGAGGGAAACAUCAACAAAAUACGAGCAGUUACUUACAGAGUUUCGCCAAGUGCAGAUGCAUGGUGACAGUAAGACAGCAGGGCUACAGAACGAGAUGAAGCUGAAGAGCUUUGAGCUGGAGAGGCUACAGAUGGUGCAUGAGGAUACGCUCCGUAACCUGGGCCAAGCCAAGCUGGACAUUGAGAAGCUGGAGAAGAAGUCGGAGGUGUUGACCAAGGAGUACUACACUCUCCAAGCCGGGAUGGACAAGAAAGUGGCAGAGUUAGAAGCACAAAACAUUUGGAUCCUUUGAGCCACAUGAUGAACCAGAGAUUGUGAAACCUGGCUUUAUAACAGUUACAAACGAUAAAUCCCAUUGGUCCAAAAAACUGAAACAGAAGAACACAGAACAAUCCACAAAAUUCUCCAAAGUGUAUGCCACUGCCAAAUCCUGACCCCCCCCCCCCCAAUCCAGCUCAGGCUCACCAUGUUACAAAUAUACCACAAUAAACAGUGACUCGGAAUGUCCAAGGAAAAUAAUGGACUGUGAUACAUGUAGUGUGGAAGGAGAUGGAGGUUGUUGAUUUUAUACACUGGAUAGAUUGGAUAAAGGCAGAAAACAGGCUAGAUUGUAAAUACUUUAACAUCAAUAUGUAAUUUCUGCUACCAGUACUUGUAUUAAGCAAUGGAUAAAUAUUAGAAUAAUAGAAUUUUGAGCAGGUUUUUGCUUUUGAACCUUUUACUCCAGUUCAAAUUUCAGUCAAAUAAUGAGCAGUUGAUUUAGAAUUAGAAAACAAAAAUAAAAGUAAACAAAUCAUGUCACUAAUGCUAUUUCAGUACUUUUAUCAGAUACGUAUUUAGUACUAUUUGUUAUUGUAUAUAUAUUUUUUGUAAAUAUAUUUGAAACAAUAAAAUGUUAUAAAUUCC